rnacentral:rRNA from 1 species
ACACUCCUGCGGGAGGCAGCAGUGGGGAAUAUUGGACAAUGGGCGCAAGCCUGAUCCAGCCAUGCCGCGUGAGUGAUGAAGGCCCUAGGGUUGUAAAGCUCUUUCACCGGUGAAGAUAAUGACGGUAACCGGAGAAGAAGCCCCGGCUAACUUCGUGCCAGCAGCCGCGGUAAUACGAAGGGGGCUAGCGUUGUUCGGAUUUACUGGGCGUAAAGCGCACGUAGGCGGACUAUUAAGUCAGGGGUGAAAUCCCGGGGCUCAACCCCGGAACUGCCUUUGAUACUGGUAGUCUUGAGUUCGAGAGAGGUGAGUGGAAUUCCGAGUGCAGAGGUGAAAUUCGUAGAUAUUCGGAGGAACACCAGUGGCGAAGGCGGCUCACUGGCUCGAUACUGACGCUGAGGUGCGAAAGCGUGGGGAGCAAACAGGAUUAGAUACCCGUGUAGUCCCA